rnacentral:ncRNA from 1 species
AUUUAUAAGAAUAUGAUGUUGGUUCAGAUUAAGCGCUAAAUAAGGACAUGACACAUGCGAAUCAUACGUUUAUUAUUGAUAAGAUAAUAAAUAUGUGGUGUAAACGUGAGUAAUUUUAUUAGGAAUUAAUGAACUAUAGAAUAAGCUAAAUACUUAAUAUAUUAUUAUAUAAAAAUAAUUUAUAUAAUAAAAAGGAUAUAUAUAUAAUAUAUAUUUAUCUAUAGUCAAGCCAAUAAUGGUUUAGGUAGUAGGUUUAUUAAGAGUUAAACCUAGCCAACGAUCCAUAAUCGAUAAUGAAAGUUAGAACGAUCACGUUGACUCUGAAAUAUAGUCAAUAUCUAUAAGAUACAGCAGUGAGGAAUAUUGGACAAUGAUCGAAAGAUUGAUCCAGUUACUUAUUAGGAUGAUAUAUAAAAAUAUUUUUAUUUUAUUUAUAAAUAUUUAAUAUUUAUAAUAAUAAUAAUAUAUAUAUAUAUAAAUUGAUUAAAAAUAAAAUCCAUAAAUAAUUAAAAUAAUGAUAUUAAUUACCAUAUAUAUUUUUAUAUGGAUAUAUAUAUUAAUAAUAAAAUUAAUUUAUUAUUAUUAAUAAUAUAUUUUAAUAGUCCUGACUAAUAUUUGUGCCAGCAGUCGCGGUAACACAAAGAGGGCGAGCGUUAAUCAUAAUGGUUUAAAGGAUCCGUAGAAUGAAUUAUAUAUUAUAAUUUAGAGUUAAUAAAAUUAAUUAAAGAAUUAUAAUAGUAAAGAUGAAAUAAUAAUAAUAAUUAUAAGACUAAUAUAUGUGAAAAUAUUAAUUAAAUAUUAACUGACAUUGAGGGAUUAAAACUAGAGUAGCGAAACGGAUUCGAUACCCGUGUAGUUCUAGUAGUAAACUAUGAAUACAAUUAUUUAUAAUAUAUAUUAUAUAUAAAUAAUAAAUGAAAAUGAAAGUAUUCCACCUGAAGAGUACGUUAGCAAUAAUGAAACUCAAAACAAUAGACGGUUACAGACUUAAGCAGUGGAGCAUGUUAUUUAAUUCGAUAAUCCACGACUAACCUUACCAUAUUUUGAAUAUUAUAAUAAUUAUUAUAAUUAUUAUAUUACAGGCGUUACAUUGUUGUCUUUAGUUCGUGCUGCAAAGUUUUAGAUUAAGUUCAUAAACGAACAAAACUCCAUAUAUAUAAUUUUAAUUAUAUAUAAUUUUAUAUUAUUUAUUAAUAUAAAGAAAGGAAUUAAGACAAAUCAUAAUGAUCCUUAUAAUAUGGGUAAUAGACGUGCUAUAAUAAAAUGAUAAUAAAAUUAUAUAAAAUAUAUUUAAUUAUAUUUAAUUAAUAAUAUAAAACAUUUUAAUUUUUAAUAUAUUUUUUUAUUAUAUAUUAAUAUGAAUUAUAAUCUGAAAUUCGAUUAUAUGAAAAAAGAAUUGCUAGUAAUACGUAAAUUAGUAUGUUACGGUGAAUAUUCUAACUGUUUCGCACUAAUCACUCAUCACGCGUUGAAACAUAUUAUUAUCUUAUUAUUUAUAUAAUAUUUUUUAAUAAAUAUUAAUAAUUAUUAAUUUAUAUUUAUUUAUAUCAGAAAUAAUAUGAAUUAAUGCGAAGUUGAAAUACAGUUACCGUAGGGGAACCUGCGGUGGGCUUAUAAAUAUC